GAAAGACUCAAAAGAGAUGCUUGCCCAAUGUUUGAGAUACUGUCGGAAAACUCCACCACCAUCGAACUUUUAAACUCUGUUCCGAUCAGUGUUCAGGUUAUUAUGUAUGUUGGACACCUUCAAUCGUUGAUGUGUAGUUUUUUUAGGUUAAUCACUGCAAACUUUUAGGGGUUGGGCUUUAGACUAAUCUAUUCUCAUUACAAGUAGCUAUGCAACCCAGUGGUGCAAAAGAUACACAACUCCGUGAGAGCAACAGCCAGAAGGUCCAUCCACAACCUAUGGAGGAAGCCGCAAACCAAAAUCCUGAAGCAGUUGAAGCUGUGGUAUCUAGGAUUUUUACAAAUAUCUCUUCCCUGAAAUCUGCCUACAUUCAACUCCAAUCUGCUCAUACUCCUUAUGACCCUGACAAAAUCCAAGCUGCCGAUAAACUUGUAAUUUCAGAGCUGAAGAAUCUCUCUGAACUGAAGCACUUCUACAGGGAGCAUAAUCCCAAACCUGUGUGUGUUUCACCUCAGGAUUCUCGCUUGGCUGCAGAGAUCCAAGAACAGCAGAGUUUGUUGAAAACAUAUGAAGUUA
rnacentral:misc_RNA from 1 species